rnacentral:RNase_P_RNA from 1 species
GCUAUAGGGAGUUCUAUCGCUCUGUCAAUUCAGCAAUGAAUUUAUGGGGAGGAAAAUCCGGACAACGUAGAGCACCACACCAUCUAACGGAUGGGCUCUUGAUCGAGGUCAGGAGACAGAUAGUGUCGCAGAAAAUUACCGCCUGUCAGGAUUGCUGUGUUGCAUAACAUGGUUGUUUAACAGGUAAGGGUGAAAACGUGAGGUAAGAGCUCACGCGCUCUCUGGGUAACCAGGUAGCGGGAUAAACCUUGUGGGUUGAAAUGCCAUGUAUAUUCCGGGCUGCCAUUAGGUAGGUUGGGUUGCUCGCUCAACUGUGUAAGCAACCGGAAGGGGUGGGCAGCUAGAUCAUUAUAGCAAUAUAAUGACCAGAUAAAUGAUAGAAAUCUCUAAAAUAGAGAUACAGAAUCCGGUUUACAUCCCUAUAGCAUUU